rnacentral:lncRNA from 1 species
CAGACUUAGGGCUCCAAACGAAAAGCCCCAAAUCUCUCGACGCUUUCAGCCUUUCUCAGUUUCACUCAUAGUUUCCCCCGGAACUCGCCCUCGACGCCGCGCCAGACGCCGCUCGCCCUCGACGCCGCGCCAGACGCCGCUCACCCUCAACGCCGUGUCGGACGCCGCUCGCCCUCGCCAGACGCCGCUGGACGCUAGUCGCCGACGCUGCUCGCCCUAACCCUCAGGUCCCUCGCCGCUCGACGCCAGUCAAAGUCUCUCCCGUUCUCUGCCUCUGCCCGUCGGCGACGCCGCCGCCGGACGCCGCUCGCCCUCGCCGGGGACGCCGCUGAACACCAGUCACCGACGCCGCUCGCCCUAACCCUCGCCACUCGACGCCAAUCAGACUCUUAAUAGUUCUCUGCCUCUGCCCGUUGCCGCCGCCGCUCGCCCUCGAUGCCGCCGCCGCCGAACGCCGCUCGCCGGCCCAGUCUCGUUUGAAUCUUCUCCGCUAGUCGUAUCUUCGCUUGUGAACAAUUGUAAAAGCUUUCGAUCACCAGCUCGUAUGCUCGUUGCAGUCCCGGCUUAGCUUAAAAAAUCC